AAAAGAAGUGAGGGUCUCUGGGUCAACCUCCCACCCGUGUUUAUUGUACCUUGUUGCUUCGGUGCGCCCGCCUCACGGCCGCCGGGGGGCUUCUGCCCCCGGGUCCGCGCGCACCGGAGACACUAUUGAACUCUGUCUGAAGAUUGCAGUCUGAGCAUAAACUAAAUAAGUUAAAACUUUCAACAACGGAUCUCUUGGUUCCGGCAUCGAUGAAGAACGCAGCGAAAUGCGAUAACUAAUGUGAAUUGCAGAAUUCAGUGAAUCAUCGAGUCUUUGAACGCACAUUGCGCCCCCUGGUAUUCCGGGGGGCAUGCCUGUCCGAGCGUCAUUGCUGCCCUCAAGCACGGCUUGUGUGUUGGGCUCCGUCCCCCCGGGGACGGGUCCGAAAGGCAGCGGCGGCACCGAGUCCGGUCCUCGAGCGUAUGGGGCUUUGUCACCCGCUCUGUAGGCCCGGCCGGCGCCAGCCGACAACCAAUCAUCCUUUUUUCAGGUUGACCUCGGAUCAGGUAGGGAUACCCGCUGAACUUAAGCAUAUCAAUAGUCGGAGGAAA
rnacentral:rRNA from 1 species